rnacentral:lncRNA from 11 species
CAGCAAACUCCCAGAUUGAAGAAGAGCAUGCAGACAAAGCCAGGUCAAAUGACUUCUUGUUUUGGAAGAAAGAACACAGAGGGACAACGGAAGGAGAGGACAAACUUUUCUGCUUCUCCUUUGGACUUCUCUAGGUGAAAUUUCCACAGCUGAUAGUAUUUUCUGAGGGACAGGAGGAAAAAAAAACCCAAGAAAGAAAGUUAAUUUUACAAGGCUGAAAGAUUUUACAAGACUGAAUGGUUUUAAAGGACAGAUUUCCGGCACUUGCUAAACUAUUGAACCUGCUUUUCUUGCUAGAUAAUAAAAUAUUGG